UCCGCCGCGAGGCGGAGUCUGAAGGAAGCCGGCGGCAAACCUCCGGCCCGACGAACAGAGGUCAUGGGUCAAGUCCGAGAUCGUGUGUAAAAUUGCCUUCUUUGGCGAAUGGAGCGGUGAGCACUUAGG
rfam:Hydrogenibacillus schlegelii strain DSM 2000 scaffold53, whole genome shotgun sequence.